rnacentral:rRNA from 1 species
UUCCGACACAGGUGAAUUAGAGUUAUGUUCUAAGGCUAAAUAGAAAUAACCAGGUUGAAGGAACUCGGCAAAAUGCUUACGUGCUUAUCGACAAGUAAGGACUAUAAAUGUUACAAUAUAAUUGAAGGCAACGACUGUUUAAUCAAAACACAAGACUCUGCUUAAUGUAAAACGUAUUAUUAUAAGACAGCCCGACGCAGUCGGCAAGCCUCCGACGCAGUCGGCAAGCCUGCGCCAAUUAAAUUGGCGCCCAAUUACAUUGGCGCUGGGCGCCAAUGAAUUUGGCGCUGGCGCGUCUUUUUGGGUUAUAAUAAUAUUCGUAUGUAAAGAGUCUGACAUCUGCCCAAGGACUAAGGUAAACGGCUGCUGUAACUAUAACGGUACUAA